rnacentral:rRNA from 1 species
CCUACGGGGGGCAGCAGUGAGGAAUAUUGGUCAAUGGGCGGAAGCCUGAACCAGCCAAGUCGCGUGAGGGAAUAAGGCCCUACGGGUCGUAAACCUCUUUUGCCGGGGAGCAAGGGCCGGGACGCGUCCCGGCCCGGAGAGUACCCGGAGAAAAAGCAUCGGCUAACUCCGUGCCAGCAGCCGCGGUAACACGGAGGAUGCGAGCGUUAUCCGGAUUUAUUGGGUUUAAAGGGUGCGUAGGCGGGCCUUUAAGUCAGCGGUAAAAAUUCGGGGCUCAACCCCGUCCGGCCGUUGAAACUGGGGGC